rnacentral:rRNA from 1 species
GGGCCCGCACAAGCGGUGGAGCAUGUGGUUUAAUUCGAUGAUACGCGAGGAACCUUACCAGGGCUUAAAUGUAGUUUGACCGGUCUGGAAACAGACUUUCUCUUCGGAGCAGAUUACAAGGUGCUGCAUGGUUGUCGUCAGCUCGUGCCGUGAGGUGUUAGGUUAAGUCCUGCAACGAGCGCAACCCCUAUUCUUAGUUGCCAGCGGUUCGGCCGGGGACUCUAAGAAGACUGCCAGCGCAAGCUGAGAGGAAGGUGGGGAUGACGUCAAAUCAUCACGGCCCUUACGUCCUGGGCUACACACGUGCUACAAUGGUAGAGACAGAGGGCAGCCACCUGGUGACAGGGAGCGAAUCCUUAAACUCUAUCUCAGUUCGGAUUGGAGUCUGCAACUCGACUCUAUGAAGCUGGAAUCGCUAGUAA